rnacentral:tRNA from 1 species
GGUUUCGUGGUGUAGUUGGUUAUCGCAUCUCGCUCACACCGAGAAGGUCCCCGGUUCGAGCCCGGGCGGAACCA